rnacentral:lncRNA from 1 species
CUCGCCCUGGCCGCCGACGUCGUCGGGGUUGGGGCAGUAGUUGCGGGUGGCGUAGAGGCGGUAGGGGCUGGCGUCGCGGGCGAGCCACUGCUCGACGGUGAACUGCUGCUGGCUGCAGCCCAUGUGGGGGCCGGUGGUGGUGACCUCGACGUAGUUACAGUACCAGCCGUGGUGGGGGCCGGAGCCGUCGGAGGUGAGGUUCAUCCAGCACGGCGGCCAGGAGGUUAUGCAGGGCCCGCGGCCGCUGAAGAUGUCGAGGUUGCCGCGCUCGUAGUAGUCGUAGUUGGCGCCCAUGAGGCCGCCCCAGCUCUCCAGGUCCUCGAUCAGCACCCCGACGCCGUCCGACCCCGCCAACGCCAGGCUGAUCACCGAGUCCGUCCCCGCCUUCCAGAUCGACCCCGUCCGUAUGUAGAUAGUGUACACGCACUUGUACUCGUCGUCCUUCC